UUAUCAACCUGGGCCAAUAUAACGCUGGAUUCUCUAAAAGGUUGUUAUUGAAAGAGGGGUCGGUGCCAUCUUUCCAUCGCAAUACUGAAGACGAGGGAAAUGCAAGCACAUCUGUUCACGGUGCUAGGCUACAUCACGUAGCAUGCCAGACGGACCCACCAAAGAUGCGCACACAUGGAACGCAGCUUUCUAUGAAAACACUGCGACCUCACUACAAAAGUACAGGCACACAGAAAACUGUGCUGCACUGAUGUCGGUGUUGGGACCUCAGCUGUAAGAGACCUCGCUUGGAGGAGGGACAGGACAACCCAAGUUGUUGCAGUAUGGACUUCGGAGAGCCACAGGAUGCUACCUAUAUGAUCCUGAUGACUCGAUCACAGUCUUGACUGAGUCAGCAGAUGUGACAAUGGAAUCUUCCAACCCUGUUCAUAAGACACCCACAUAUAUUGUCUAUGAAAACUGCCUCCUGGAGCUGUUUGAGGUGUGUCCUGUGUGUCGGCGGGGGACAGAUGUAAUAUAUAAGAAGGGCGAGUGCACAGCAAAGCCGGUGAAAGCAGAUGCAACCUUCCGUGAUUCUCACAGGCUCUAUUUAAAAGCCAAACAGUGUACAAACAGUAUGUGAAACAUAAAUAACAUAUCGAUUAACUGCUGUCUUUAAAUUGUCUUCACGAUUUAAAGACCAUUUAUUUAUCGUCUUCACGAUAAAUAGAAUAAAAUAAUUAUAAAAAGAAAAUAAUAAAUACAAAAAGUGCAAAAUGUCCAAC